rnacentral:rRNA from 1 species
CCUACGGGUGGCAGCAGUGGGGAAUAUUGGACAAUGGGCGAAAGCCUGAUCCAGCCAUGCCGCGUGUGUGAAGAAGGCCUUCGGGUUGUAAAGCACCUUCAGUGGGGAAGAAAGCCUUGGGGCUAAUACCCUCGAGGAAGGACAUCACCCACAGAAGAAGCACCGGCUAACUCCGUGCCAGCAGCCGCGGUAAUACGGAGGGUGCGAGCGUUAAUCGGAAUUACUGGGCGUAAAGCGCGCGUAGGCGGUCUGAUAAGCCGGUUGUGAAAGCCCCGGGCUCAACCUGGGAACGGCAUCCGGAACUGUCAGGCUAGAGUGCAGGAGAGGAAGGUAGAAUUCCCGGUGUAGCGGUGAAAUGCGUAGAGAUCGGGAGGAAUACCAGUGGCGAAGGCGGCCUUCUGGACUGACACUGACGCUGAGGUGCGAAAGCGUGGGUAGCAAACAGGAUUAGAUACCCCAGUAGUC